UCAAAAUGCUGACACGCCGAGCUCAAAAGGUUCGCCAUCACCGCUCCAAGGGCUUCUGAUGGGAGACUGGCUGAAUGGUGUGUAUGCAAACCAAAAGCUCUGCCUCUGUGAAUUUCUGUUUUUGAAAAGCUGACACCCUCAGAAAGGAAAGCUGAGAGACGAGUGACGCACUUGCAUUGGCCUCCUCCCAAACCUCACCACUCCUCUCAGGAGGAAAAUAAGAAAACCAUGUACACAGCCUCAUGCCACCUGAAACCUGGGCCCUGCCACACAGGAAGCCUAGAGAUAACUGGUGACAAAUUACACAAUUACACAACCCCAGGACAGACUGUCCUCCAUCUGGCUCACAGGAAUGUCCUUGCCAUGCACUUUGGGGGCCUCUUCCUUCACAGUGCACCAGGUCGCAUAGGACUUCCACUUGAAGCUGUAGAUAAGGCUGACAUGCACAGUUGAAAGCUAUCUUCUAGCGCCUUCUAUAGAACUUUAUUUCUAAACUUCAUGUACUAAAAGAAGAGAUUCCUUGCAAUAUCUCUUAAGUAUAGAUAACCCCAUGAGAAUCCUUUUCAUCUUUGACAAGAGAUAUCUAUAGCUGAGGCAAGGAGCCGAAGGCCCAACUCUGCCAAUAAUGAUAAUAAUAGCAACAAUGAACAUUUAAGGAGCAUUUACAAUAAAUGAAGCACUAUUCUACUUGUUUUACAUACACUGCCUCAUUUUACAGAUGAGGAAACAGGCACAAGAGAGAUUAAGUAAUUUGCCCAACUCACACCUAAAUAAAUGGCCGGAAGUCAAACCCAGGCAGGUGUGUCAGCAUCUACCUUCUUAACCACCAGGCUCCGCUGCCUCUUGCCAGGACUCCCUGCCUGAGCACUGACGCUACGCCGCCCAGGACCUUUGCUCCCAGACCUUUGCUCCUCUGAGGAUCAACAUUGUGACCUACCCAGAAGCUUGGUGAAACGCAGACUCUCAAAAGCUCCAUCCCAGACCUCCAGGAUCAGAUUCUGCAUUGUAACAAGCUCCCUGUACCUCCUUCCAGAUGCAUGGCAAAGGGCUGCCAUGGUUGGGUGAUUCAGUUGGUUGGAGCAUCAUCCUGGACACCAAACGGUUUUGGGUUCAAUCCCCGGCCGGGGCACGUAAAGGAAGCAACUAAUAGAUGUUUCUUUCCCCUCUCUCUCUGUCUCUCUCUCUGUCUCUUUCCCCUUUCAUCUCUUUCUAAAAUCAAUAAACAUACCCUCAGGUGAGGAUUAAAAAAUAAAAAGGCUAUAAAGGACUUAGCCAACUAGUGCUCCACAAAAGAAAGUCCUGAGACACAUACAGCUACAAUUAGCUCAUAAACUUCCCACUACCACCAAGGCAAGGAGUAUGCUGGUCCUUUCCCUAUACGAAUAAAUAUACAUAUUUCUUGAU